UGGGUCAUUGUUUUUUUUACAAGUAUUGG
rnacentral:piRNA from 1 species